rnacentral:rRNA from 2 species
GCAGUCGAGCGGAUUGAUGGGAGCUUGCUCCCUGAAAUCAGCGGCGGACGGGUGAGUAACACGUGGGUAACCUGCCUGUAAGACUGGGAUAACUCCGGGAAACCGGGGCUAAUACCGGAUAGUUCUUUUCCUCGCAUGAGGAAAAGUGGAAAGGCGGCUUCGGCUGCCACUUACAGAUGGACCCGCGGCGCAUUAGCUAGUUGGUGAGGUAACGGCUCACCAAGGCAACGAUGCGUAGCCGACCUGAGAGGGUGAUCGGCCACACUGGGACUGAGACACGGCCCAGACUCCUACGGGAGGCAGCAGUAGGGAAUCUUCCGCAAUGGACGAAAGUCUGACGGAGCAACGCCGCGUGAGUGAUGAAGGUUUUCGGAUCGUAAAGCUCUGUUGUUAGGGAAGAACAAGUGCCGUUCGAAUAGGGCGGCACCUUGACGGUACCUAACCAGAAAGCCACGGCUAACUACGUGCCAGCAGCCGCGGUAAUACGUAGGUGGCAAGCGUUGUCCGGAAUUAUUGGGCGUAAAGCGCGCGCAGGCGGUCUCUUAAGUCUGAUGUGAAAGCCCACGGCUCAACCGUGGAGGGUCAUUGGAAA